rnacentral:misc_RNA from 1 species
GCAUCUGCAAAAAAAAUAUAUUUAUUUGUUUUGAUAAGAAGAAACGGAAAAAAUCGGUGAAAAAUGAAAGAAAACACGCAGAAAACAAAGCAAGAUAAAUGGCCGCUGAAAUUUGUCGGGGACUCGACCAUGGCCUAGAAACCUUUUUGCCUCGUCCCUCGUUCGAAAAAAGUUGCAGUGGUUUUAUUCAUUUUGCAGUUAAGGUUAUUUUUUCGAAUGCCAGUUCCAACUCCACUCUCGGAAUUCGUUUCUUCCAAAGUUGCCACGUUUAGCAACAUUCAAAGAUUCUUGAAUCUCGACGGAAAUGAGCAUCUUGCCGUCGCCGCUCUUCAAGACAGUCGGGUAAUGGGAAUUCCAGAAGCGACCGGCCCUGAAGCACCAGCUGGAGCGAUGACUGUUCAGUAAUAUAUCGUUCAAAACUCUACGACCGAUCCUGAUUCGAAGUUCGGCUGCCCGCAAUGCCACAAAAUGAUCAAAUGGUGCCAGAUGGAUCAUCACAUUUUCAAUGCACACGUCGUGAAGAAACCCUUUCGCUGCACAAUCUGAAGUUCGGAUUAUUGUGACAAGGAUGGAGCUGUUGCUCAUGCUGUGAAUUGUCACGACUUGUCAAGAGAAGAAGCAAAAACCAAGUCCAGAAAGAGAACUGAGUCGGAAACCAAAAAAAAGAUGGAGAGAAUGAUGAACGAUGCUAAGGAAGGUUUCUCGUACUGAUGGAUCUCACAUGUGCUCUCUAUUUUUUUGUUUCUCUUAAAAUUUGACGUUUUUUCUCCCUUUUGAGCCCCCUUUCAAUAUCGAUUUUUAAUCUGGUCACUUUUUUCUGGUUUUUUUUUUGCUAGAUUUAGACCUUCACCCUCCUCUCGACAAACGUGUAGAAUUGCUAAUUUGACCCCCUCCCAGUAAUUCACAAUUUCCUGUGGAGCCAUCCGAUCUCACAUGUGCUCUCUAUUUUUUUUGUUUCUUCUAAAAGAUGUACAAUCACUUUAUGAAAGGAAAUCCAACAAAUUCUACGGAGACGACACCAUUCUCACAGGAAAAUGUUUUCACUUGGAACAUCUGGAUAGUUGCAUCAACUUCGAAAUUUUCUUCGAGAAACAGUUUUUGGUGGAAUUUUUUAAAGAGAAAAGCGGAUUUAUCAAGUUUUUUCGUGAUCUCGUUCUCUGAUUUUUUUUAAAACAAUUUUUUUGAAUAAAUUAAAUUUUUUUA